AUUGAACGCUGGCGGCAUGCUUUACACAUGCAAGUCGAACGGUAACAGGGAGCUUGCUCCGCUGACGAGUGGCGAACGGGUGAGUAAUGCAUCGGAACAUGCCCAGUCAUGGGGGAUAACUACGCGAAAGCGUAGCUAAUACCGCAUACGCCCUGAGGGGGAAAGUGGGGGGAUCUUAGGACCUCACGUGAUUGGAGUGGCCGAUGUCAGAUUAGCUAGUUGGUGAGGUAAAGGCUCACCAAGGCGACGAUCUGUAGCGGGUCUGAGAGGAUGAUCCGCCACACUGGGACUGAGACACGGCCCAGACUCCUACGGGAGGCAGCAGUGGGGAAUUUUGGACAAUGGGCGCAAGCCUGAUCCAGCCAUGCCGCGUGAGUGAAGAAGGCCUGCGGGUUGUAAAGCACUUUUGUUCGGGAAGAAAUCAUGUCGGUUAAUACCCGAUGUGGAUGACGGUACCGAAAGAAUAAGCACCGGCUAACUUCGUG
rnacentral:rRNA from 1 species